ACACACACAAGGGUGUGUGUUCUAGAUCGACCUCCAGGAGACAAAAAGGGGUGAAAACCCUAGCUCCACCAAAUCUUCAAAUUGAAGGAUCAAUCGAAGGCCAAUUUCGGAUUUGAAUGUAUAUAAACGAUCACCAAGUCAAGGGGAUCGUCAGUUUGACGCCUAACGAGCUAGAUGGAAGCUUGUGGAUGAAGCGGGUCAAACGGAGCAAGUACGGAAAGAAAACGUGGCAUGGAUGCAAGGUGAAUGUCAGGAGUACCGGAUGAAGGUCAAGCGAAGUGCAAGAACCGAACACAUGGAAAAGAAGCUUCCGCACGUUGCCUCGUCGUUAUUUUGAAACGACGAACUCAAUUACAUCAUGUAGUAUUAUUUUUGUAAAUUGUAAAAGUUUUAGUUCAACCGUGUUUUUAAUAUAUAUGUAAUCAUAAUUACCUUUUUAUUUUCGUAAAUUCUACGAAAACCGUAAAAUAAUAGCAAGGGUGUUACA